rnacentral:lncRNA from 1 species
CCUUUAAACACUUGAUUCCUUGAAAAAUCACACUUUUUUUUUGAAUUUUCUCACUCUAGGGUUUGUUCUUAUUUCUCUCUCUCUCCUGCUGGUUCUGGCUGACCAUCCAAAUGAAAAAUUCUAGAAUUUUCAAGCCUUUUAAUAGGCUUAAUAAAAUAUUAUUAUUUUAUUUACCUUUUGAAUAUUUUAUUAUUUUAUUUUUUUCUACCCAUCUUUUUGACUUUCUUUUUCUACCACUCAAUCCUUUUCACUUAUCCAUGUCUUCC